GAGAGCAAAAGUGAGAGUCAAUGAAGGGGGGCGAGAGUCAGACAUAAUGUUAACAGCUGAUGUUUGGUUUCACAACCCUGGAGUGAUUAAAUGUCAUUGUGAAACAAGACAGUUCCCUAUUCCGUGGUAGUGGAGUGUUGCCAUGUAGUGAGGUCAUAAUAAGCAGACAUUCUACAGGAAAUGAAACUAAAGGAUCAUGCUGAAGGACAUCCACCUAAAAUGUAUUUUUUUUAUAAAAAUUUAAAUUCAUAAUAGAGAACUUUAUUGUGCCACAUACAGAAUUCUGUCAUUGUCAUAUUGUGUUUUCCUUACAACAGUUAAUAACAGUUACUACAGGGAAUUACCAUAAAAACCAACAUUGUCAUUCUCACUAGCCCACUCCUUCUUUUAAUAACAAAUACCAUUUUCUUUGUCAACGUUAACAUUACUUCACUACAGAAUAUCUAGCCAGUUUGCUCCACAACAUCCAGAUGAUUUAAUGUCUUACAGUGUCUUGCAUUUCUACCUCAUACAGAAUCAUCAACUCAAGAGUUGAUCCUGGGUGGUAUAGUAUAAACCUGGGGAACUGAGGGAGGACAGGAAAGGGGGAGAAAGAGAGAGCAUGGAAGCCCCCCCCCCGAAAACAUUUUGGACCACAUCACACCACCUGUAUGUCUCCACAAAGCCCAGAGACUCACAGAGCCUACUACUACUACUACUACUACUACUACUACUACUACUACUACUACUAAGUCCUUGCAUCCCCUGUCCUUGUUUCCUUAGCAGGGUUGGGAUUAAUUCCAUUUCAAUUCCAGUCAAUUGAGAAAGAAAACCAAAUUCCGCUCAUUGAAACGCAACGAAGAAGAAUUUGAGUUAGAAUUUCAGUGUACUUCCUGAAUUGACGACUGUUUUGUUAGUAAAACUCACAGGUGAUUAGUAAAGCUUAAACCAAGUUUAUUCACCCAUUGGGUCAAUACAGCUGCAUAAGACAAAGUCUCCUCCUUCUCUCUAAACAUUACGUCUUUAUCACUAGACGGGAAGUUAAGUAAUGCGGGCAACACACUGUUCCUUCUGCCUUAACGUGACGUGACCUGACCUCUACAUUCUUUACUAAUCCACAGCUCUCCACCAUAAUCAUGGGAUCGCCUCUCCUCUACUCAGCACCUCCCAAAUGUCCCCUGGCUCCUAUUCAAACAUCCUUGACCCCAACCUUAUACAUUACUCCUACGGAUACCCAUUAACUUCUGGUGUAGAAACCAGACUAUGUCACUCCUCAUGUCUCUGGUAUAACUGAUGAUUAACAAUAUAUUUUAAAAAAGUUUAGAAAUCUGAACCCAUCGCUGGAAUUGAAAUAGAACUGGCCCCAAAACCCUGGUUCAGAGUUCCUCUCAAAGUGCAUUGGAAGAGAAGGUCCAAACAAGCGAGGGACCUUGUAUCCUCUUCUCCAUUGCUCUUAGAAAAGGAGAUAAGGAAACAAGGACAGAGGAAGCAAGGAUUUGACAGCCACCGAUAGUAAUGUUUUCAGGGCCCAUAUCCAAGUUGAGGCUCAGAGCAAGAGUGCUGAUUUAGGAUCCGUUUGGCAUUUUUAGAUCAUAAUAAAUAUGAAUUUAUGAACGGAAGGGAACUGAUCCUAGAUCAGCAGUUUUGGAAUACGGGCCCGUAGCGUCAGUUUGUGAAGGUCUCGAGCGAGGUCAUCAUCUCUUGGGGUCGAGUCGAGUUCAGGGGGUCACGUGGAGGAGCUGUCCUGGCUGGUCUGAUUCCGAUUGGUGGAGCUGAGCGUCUCCAGUUGCUGAGCGCGCUCAGUGUGGACGUUGAGCAGCGUGGCGUUCUCCUCCGACAGGACACGGAACUCAUCCUCCAGACAGGCCAUCUCCACGGCAACAAGCUCGUCCUCCACCAGCUCGGCCAGCAGCUCACGCCUGGAGAGUAAGUGAAUUCACAGAUUGAAAGCUGGACCAUGGGACAAAUGUAAGGCAUUAUCUAGGGAAUAGGGUUCCAUUUGGUACGCAACUAGAAGUGCCUUCAAAGCCAGAUGUUUAUGUGAAUAGGAC
rnacentral:lncRNA from 1 species